AUCAUAUUGGUAGAGGUUUUGAGGGCAUAGCCAUUUCCCCCAUAGAUUAAAAGUUUCAUCAGGGCAAGAAUUAUUACCUCUUUCUUUCUUUAUUUUUAUUAUUAUGUUUUUAACCUCCACCUUCUAUCUUCCCUCUAAGUAUCGCUAAGCGCCAUUGAAUCUCAGUCUUCUCUGUUCAUUGAUUGGCUAUUAAAAAUUGAAAACUGUGGGAGCAGCUGGCAGCCUCCUUCCACUAAGGUCUUCCUCCUCAGGUGGUAAACCUGCUCAAUAAGAAUCGCAAUCAGGUUUGCCACAUCUGCCGCAUAGCUGUUGCUCCUUCCACAGGCAAAUAUUUCAGAAACAGGUUCCAUUCCCAGCCAAGGUGGUUGUGUUUCCUACUGUUUUUCUUCCCAAUUGUUUUCAACUUUUACUGGCUUAAAUAAUGAUGCACAUGCAAUCCUGCCCAGAGGAAACCAAAUAUUUUGUUUUUGCUUUCAUACAUUAAGAGAAGGACUACAGUAGAGCCAAAGAGUGCUGGAUGUGAGGCCAGGACGUGGCUUCGGGUCCUGGUCCGCCUCUUACCACUGGGGAGUCACUUUACAUCACUGCUAGGCCUCGAUUUCCUAAUCCAUAAGAUAAAAUUUCAAAAAUUCUUAACAUGGCUUGAAGGGCCCUUCGGGAACCAGCGCCCUUCCCCCUGGACACUGACCGUCUCUGUUCCUUCUGUGUACUAAGCUCUGUGGACCUGAGGAUGAUCACAUAUGACCUGCCUUGAAACUACACACAGGUCAUAACUGUUUGCUUCACUGAGGAACAAACGAUCGAAGUGGAUGAUUUAAGAGACUUGUAGGAGGUCAGACCAAUAAGACUUGGAAGGAAGAAGGACACCAAGGAUGAAACGAAGUGUGGCUUGCCAAGCAGUGCCAUGUCCGCAGCCGGGAUCCGAAGUGGCGAACUCCCAGGCCGCCGAAUUGGAACGUGCGAACUUAGCUGCUGCGCCACAGAGCCGACCCCCUGGAUAAUGUUUUCUUAAGUAAGAGCACAAUUGUGAGGAGUUGAAAAAGGGAAAAGACAUGAAAAGAAGAAAAGGAAAGAGAACUGAGAAGAAAGCAGAUGACUUGUAACCGGUAAUAGUAGACUAAUCCAACAGAAAAGAGGAGAAAACAAAAGAAAAAGAAAUGAGAGAAAGUAAAAGUAAGGACAUAAUAUAAAGGAUCCUGGGACUGGAGAAUCCAAAACAAGUUCAAAACUGUCAAGAGACCCAAGAUGUAAGAAACCAAAAUCCUAGAGAGAAGACAAACAUGGGAAAAUCUGCCUGAUUGUCCAAGCCCCUUUUCCUCUUGAGACAGCCAUCCAUUUGUCUGUGGUGUGGGCCGACAGAGAGAAGCUGAUCCUGCAAAUGCUCCCUAAGAGGCUGAGAUGCUAAGCACAGCUUUCGGCAGUCUCAAUGUGCUGGG
rnacentral:lncRNA from 1 species